rnacentral:rRNA from 1 species
AACGAACGCUGGCGGCAGGCCUAACACAUGCAAGUCGAGCGCGCCUUCGGGUGAGCGGCGGACGGGUUAGUAACGCGUGGGAAUAUACCCAAUGGUAGGGAAUAGCCUCUGGAAACGGAGAGUAAUACCCUAUGUGCCCUUCGGGGGAAAGAUUUAUCGCCAUUGGAUUAGCCCGCGUUAGAUUAGGUAGUUGGUGGGGUAAUGGCCUACCAAGCCUACGAUCUAUAGCUGGUUUGAGAGGAUGAUCAGCAACACUGGGACUGAGACACGGCCCAGACUCCGACGGGAGGCAGCAGUGGGGAAUCUUCGGCAAUGGGCGCAAGCCUGACCGAGCCAUGCCGCGUGAGUGAUGAAGGCCCUAGGGUCGUAAAGCUCUUUCGCCAGGGAUGAUAAUGACAGUACCUGGUAAAGAAACCCCGGCUAACUCCG